rnacentral:pre_miRNA from 1 species
CAUGUACUCCCUCUGUCCGGAAAUACUUGUCAUCAAAAUGAAUAAAAGGGGAUGUAUUUAGAUGUAUUUUAGUUUUAGAUACAUCCUUUUUUGUCCAUUUUGAUGACAAGUAUUUUCGGACGGAGGGAGUACGUG